rnacentral:lncRNA from 1 species
GCCAGCAUUCCUGCUGUUGCAACACCUGGGAGAAUGGAGGCUUCAGCUGUGGCCCUGUCCCUCUGCAGAGCCCUCAAUGCCACCACCCCGCCCCAGCCCUGGAGGAUGGAGUCAGAGGUAGGCAGCAGGAAGGGAGCACCUCAGACUCCUCGCAGAGGCCCUGCUUGUCUUCCCACGGGCAUCUGCAGCCUGGGUGAGCUUCUGCACGCGACUCUUGGCUCUGAUUCUUGUGGCCUUGUGGGGCUUCCAGGCAGAGGCCCGAGCUGAGGUUAGCAGAGCCCCCAGCACCCUUCACCAAGGUGGCCACCAUGCCCUGACCAGGCCUAGGACCCUCAUUCUGGAGAGGACACUGGGGCCAUGUGCCAGGGGCCUUGCCUAUUCCUCCCUUCUCUUGGUCCUUCAGAUUCCCAGGGCAAGCCUGCAGGAAGUCUUACCCCUUGCCCCUUUCGUGGAGGGGUCAGUGCUGGCAUCCCUUGGGCCCCCGGGCUCAUGCCGCAGCCUACCUGCUUGAGCUGCGUGACGGCCCCGACUUCUCCUCCAAGGGGUUGGAGACGCCUUCCUGUAGUGUCCCACCAGGUCUCUCAGGAUGCAGAACUGCUCCCUACCUCCCGCCAUACUUCCCAUCAGUUUGUGGGGUGGCAGUGAGGGGCCUGGCUGUGAAGCCCGCCCUUCCCAGAGUCACAGCCCUCUCAUGCCGCCUCCCGCUUGGAAGCAGACCAGAACGUAGGUGAUGCGUGGCUGCGGUCGGUGCCCGGUGCCUCCUCUGGCUCCUGAGUCAGCCCUGUGAGCACAAACUGCCCAGGGUCGCUCUGAUUCUCCUGUACCAGGAAGCUGCCCGGAUGCCCCUUCUCCAUCAGCGGCUUCUCAGCCUCCUUGCCAGACAGGUGCCUGUGGUACCACCUGGCCCAGGGUGAAGCUCAGAUGAGGUUGGAGGCCCUAGCCUGGGAGAGACUCGUAUGAAGCUGACACUUCAGAAACACAUAUGGAGACAGAGACAGACAACAUCAGACCUCAGGCCCAACGGCCUUGGAACUAGCGGGCCCAACCCUCUGACCCUCUCUCUUCCCCCAGGAGUGCUAAAAGACGAGACAGCUGUGUUGAGCAGGGUGCGGGGUGGCCACCAGGUGGCAGCCUGGUCCUCAGCCACAAGAAGCAGAGCGGCCUCCCAGACCAGCCCACCAGGUCCCUGGCACAACCAGCUUCCUGUAGUGGGGAAACAGACUGCAGGAGCUGGCUCACCCCAGUCACUAGCCAGGAGGGUAGUGGUGGCAUCAGGGCCCAGUCCCCUGCUCUCUCACCCCUGCAUUUGUGCUUUGGACUUGGGGGACACGGGCCUCAUAGCACACGGGGGCAGGGCUGCCGACACUCUCAGUUUGGCGGCCAGUGCCCCCCGGGUGACUGAAGAGUAGGUGAGAGGCGGUACCCAGCCGACUCACACACUUGCAUACACAUACAGGUGCCAUCAGCCCAGGCUCAUCACUCUGACGUGGGGUCCUGGCAGCCCAGUGGGCCCUGCUGUGAUCAUGAAGCAGCCUCCCACACUGGCCCAUGCCGUGCUGCCCCAGCUCAGCCAGCGUGGCGGACUUCUCUCCCUAUACAGGUCACAGGCGUCACCCACGUUCUGGCUCAUGAUGUGGCUCCCUCCUUGUGCCACCUGGAGGGCAGGUUCAGGGCAGCUAUGGGAAGGGAGCCUGGCUCCCACCAUCCCCCGCCUCCCGUCUUCACUCAGCCUCCGGGACAGUCUCUGGGCUUUUCCUGCCAGAAACAGAUGGGGCCAGGACCCUCCCCACUGCAGCUCUUGUCCAGUCAGUGUGGGCACCUCCUCCCACCCCCUGCCCAGGACUAGGCUUUGGGACCCCAGGCCCAAGUUCCUUAACCUGGAGGCCAAGGCUGGGGCAGCCCACCACCAGUGGUCCUGCCCAGGAGCGCCCAACCAGGCUCAGUCCCUUACCCACCCCCUAUGUGCUCAAGUCAGGGUCCCAGGUGCCACCGUACAGUUGGGGAGCUCUGGGGAAGAAAUUCUCUCUUUUCAAAGUGAGCCUGCUGCCUCAGGCUUAGGAGAGAACCUAGGCAGACCUGAAGCCUGUUAGAGCCCCAGCGGCCACUUCUCCUCACAGACUGAUGCCUCCUAGUCCAGGCAGACAUGGGUCCAGCUGUCUACUCUGCUGGUCACAACUCCUCCCACACAGUCCCCAGGAGCUGGCCCCCAGAGGGCAGGCAGUGGGACCAGCUCUGCCUUACCUCCCUGAGCCACCCCAACAGAGGCACAGCAGCUGCCCCACAGCACCCAGUUUCCCUCAGCUACUGCCCACUACCCUCUGGGAGCAUCCUAAGGUGUUCAGAACCCUUGCCUGGCCAGGCCCACCCUCCUGCAGACAGCGUGAAGUCCCCUGGGCUGCUCUUGCUGGGCCUGCCUGGGAAGCUCCCGUGGGGCCCUGGGACAGAAGCAGCAUCUCUGCCUCCGCCCCACUGAUGUUGGGGUGAGACCACCUGGAAUGGGGGCAGUAAGCUGGAGACUGCAGACCAGUCCUGCCCCAGCCCCUGCAUCAUCUCUGCAGCUAACACCCACAGUUGCCAAGGGGGCCUCCCCACGCUCAAAGCUGGCGAUGGGCCAUGAUGAGGAAGGAGGCGGGGGCCAGGUGGGCGAGGGAGGCCCUUCCAGUGCGUCCACAGGAUGGCCAUCAGAAGCACCUUCCACAUGACCCAGCUUCUCAGGGUGGAGCUGGGGCCUGCCACAAACAUGAGCCCUUGUUCAGACCCCCUAGAGCCACCCCACUAGCCCCUUGGUCUUGGAAGACUUCAGCUUCCUGGCUGCAGGAAGGAAGGCUUUGCCCAGCUCUGGGGUGUGCUGCCCUGGGUGGCUGACAGAGGCCGGCAGCUGCUGUGCCCUUCUGGCUUGUGGACUUCCUGUUCAGCCCCCAUCACAGGCACCACACUGAGUAGCCUGCUGAAUGUCUCCUACUCAAAAAUCAAGUUCCAUAAGUGCCACUCUGUGUGCUGCCGUAUUCCACGGCUGAAAACAGUGCCUGGGAUCAGAAAAUAAUCACGUUCGAAUCAAGAAGUGAAUGACCUGGGCUGGGGAUAUGGCUCAAGCGGUAGCACGCUCGCCUGGCAUGCGCCAGGUGCUGGGUUCGAUCCUCAACACCACAUAAAAAUAAAAUAAAGUUAUUGUGUCCACCUAAACAACUAAAAAAAUAAAUAUUUGAAAAAAAAGAAGUGAAUUACCAUCAACAUUCAUAGCAGCACAACUCACAAUAGGUAAAUUAUGACAUUGACCCAGAUGCCUGUCAAUAGAUAAUGGAUUAAGAAACUGUGGGCUG